rnacentral:tRNA from 1 species
CAAGAUAUAGCUUAACAUAAAGCAUCCGGCUUACACCCAGAAGAUUUCAAUCCAUCUGACUAUCUUGA